rnacentral:rRNA from 1 species
CGGGGGGGUGCAAGCGUUGUUCGGGAAUUAUUGGGGCGUAAAGCGCGCGCAGGCGGCCAGGCAAGUCGGGUGUGAAAGCCCUCAGCUCAACUGAGGAAUUGCGCUCGAAACUGCUUGGCUUGAGUACAGGAGAGGGUGGCGGAAUUCCCGGUGUAGAGGUGAAAUUCGUAGAUAUCGGGAGGAACACCAGAGGCGAAGGCGGCCACCUGGCCUGUAACUGACGCUGAGGCGCGAAAGCGUGGGGAGCAAACAGGAUUAGAUACCCUGGUAGUCCACGCCGUAAACGAUGUGCACUAGGUGUUGCGGGAGUUGACCCCUGCAGUGCCGUAGCUAACGCAUUAAGUGCACCGCCUGGGAAGUACGGCCGCAAGGCUA